rnacentral:rRNA from 1 species
GACGAACGCUGGCGGCGUGCCUAAUACAUGCAAGUCGAGCGGAUCUUCAUUAGCUUGCUUUUGAAGAUCAGCGGCAAACGGGUGAGUAACACGUGGGCAACCUGCCUGUAAGACUGGGAUAACUUCGGGAAACCGGAGCUAAUACCGGAUAAUCCUUUUCCUCUCAUGGGGAAAAGCUGAAAGACGGUUUCGGCUGUCACUUACAGAUGGGCCCGCGGCGCAUUAGCUAGUUGGUGAGGUAACGGCUCACCAAGGCGACGAUGCGUAGCCGACCUGAGAGGGUGAUCGGCCACACUGGGACUGAGACACGGCCCAGACUCCUACGGGAGGCAGCAGUAGGGAAUCUUCCGCAAUGGACGAAAGUCUGACGGAGCAACGCCGCGUGAGCGAUGAAGGCCUUCGGGUCGUAAAGCUCUGUUGUCAGGGAAGAACAAGUACCGGAGUAACUGCCGGUACCUUGACGGUACCUGACCAGAAAGCCACGGCUAACUACGUGCCAGCCGCCGCGGUAA